ensembl:snRNA U6 U6 spliceosomal RNA
UCACUUUGGCAGUGCAUAUACAAAAAUUGGAACAAUAGAGAGAAGAUUAGCAUGGCCCCUGCACAAGAAAGGCAUGCAAAUUUGUGAAGCAUUCCAUGUUUUU